AGAGCGAACGCUGGCGGCAGGCCUAACACAUGCAAGUCGAACGGACUCUUCGGAGUUAGUGGCGGACGGGUGAGUAACACGUGGGAACGUGCCUUUAGGUUCGGAAUAGCUCCUGGAAACGGGUGGUAAUACCGAAUGUGCCCUUCGGGGGAAAGAUUUAUCGCCUUUAGAGCGGCCCGCGUCUGAUUAGCUUGUUGGUGAGGUAAUGGCUCACCAAGGCUACGAUCAGUAGCUGGUCUGAGAGGAUGACCAGCCACAUUGGGACUGAGACACGGCCCAAACUCCUACGGAGGCAGCAGUGGGAAUCUUGCGCAAUGGGCGAAAGCCUGACGCAGCCAGUGCCGCGUGUAUGAUGAAGGUCUUAAGGAUUAGUAAAAUACUUUACGACCGGUAGAAGAUAAUGACUGUAGACCGG
rnacentral:rRNA from 1 species